GAUGAAGAACGCAGCGAAAUGCGAUAAGUAAUGUGAAUUGCAGAAUUCAGUGAAUCAUCGAAUCUUUGAACGCACAUUGCGCCCGCCUGUAUUCUGGCGGGCAUGCCUGUUCGAGCGUCAUUUCAACCAUCAAGCCCCAGGCUUGUGUUGGGGACCUGCGGCUGCCGCAGGCCCUGAAAACCAGUGGCGGGCUCGCUAGUCACACCGAGCGUAGUAGCAUACACAUCGCUCAGGGCGUGCUGCGGGUUCCGGCCGUUAAACCCCUUUUUUACCCAAGGUUGACCUCGGAUCAGGUAGGAAGACCCGCUGAACUUAAGCAUAUCAAUAAGCGGAGGA
rnacentral:misc_RNA from 1 species